UUUUGUCGUGCGUGAGAUUACAAGUAGGCUUACCAUGCCACAACAGCGUAACUAAGCAUUUUAGAUAAGAUGAGUAAACAAGAAGAAUGCAUUUGCCAUAUCUGCACAUUUUAAGGGAAUAGUAUAAUGAAAGCUAGCUUGAUAAACGAGGCUGGUCAUUAUAGGGUUUAACUAUGAGGAACGAGAGAGAUAAAGAAACAUGACAAGCUACAGCCUUAGACUGCAUGCUCAGUUUGAGAAAAAACUGUCAGCUGGAACUGGAAGUCUUGUCAAGAGAGCACUCUAAACUUCAUAUAAGAAACAAAAAUUAAAUAAGACAACAUGUCGAAAGGAAAUAAAACAUUAGAGUGGGCACCAAAGACAUAAUACAAUAUAUUUGCAGAAGUUUCC